rnacentral:rRNA from 1 species
GAUGAACGCUGGCGGCGUGCCUAACACAUGCAAGUCGAACGGAGAUUACGGACGGAAGUUUUCUGAUGGAAGACUGUAAUUCUUAGUGGCGGACGGGUGAGUAACGCGUGGGCAACCUGCCCUAUACAGGGGGAGAGCAGCUGGAAACGGCUGGUAAGACGGCAUAAGUCGGCGAGACCGCAUGGUCUUGCCGGGGAAUGAGCAAUCUGGUAUAGGAUGGGCCCGCGUCCGAUUAGCCAGUUGGCAGGGUAAAAGCCUACCCAAGCAACGAUCGGUAGCCGGACUGAGAGGUCGGACGGCCAGAUUGGGACUGAGACACGGCCCAAACUCCGGCGGGAGGCAGCAGUGGGAGAGAUUGAACAAUGGAGGAAACACUGAUGCAGCGAGGCCGCGUGAGUGAAGAAGUAUUUCGGUAUGUAAAGCUCUCUCAGCAGGGAAGAUGAGGACGGGACCUGACUAAGGAACCCCGGCUAAAUACGU